rnacentral:rRNA from 1 species
AUUGAACGCUGGCGGAAUGCUUUACACAUGCAAGUCGAGCGGCAGCGCGGGGCAACCUGGCGGCGAGCGGCGAACGGGUGAGUAAUGCAUCGGAACGUACCCAGUCGUGGGGGAUAACUGUCCGAAAGGACAGCUAAUACCGCAUACGUCCUGAGGGAGAAAGCGGGGGAGUCGCAAGACCUCGCGCGAUUGGAGCGGCCGAUGCCGGAUUAGCUAGUUGGUAGGGUAAAGGCCUACCAAGGCGACGAUCCGUAGCUGGUCUGAGAGGACGACCAGCCACACUGGAACUGAGACACGGUCCAGACUCCUACGGGAGGCAGCAGUGGGGGAAUUUUUGGACAAUGGGGGGCGAACCCUGAUCCAGCCAUUCCGCGUGAGUGAAGAAGGCC